AAGAAUAUGAAUCAGCAGUGAGCAGUGACUGGCCUUGAGGACGGCCUCCCUGGCCUACCUUCUGCUUUCCUGGAAAAGAUGAAUAUACAUCAUUUGAACCUAUUUUGAGUUUUCUGUUGUUUUGUUUGCCUAAUUUUGUUUUUAUAGCCUAAAAUAAAAAUAUGACACAGUCUUAAAAAAAAAAAA